CGGUCCGCCUUUGGUGUG
rnacentral:siRNA from 1 species